AUUGAACGCUGGCGGCAGGCCUAACACAUGCAAGUCGAGCGAGCGGCGGACGGGUGAGUAAUGUAUGGGAAACUGCCCGAUGGAGGGGGAUAACUACUGGAAACGGUCGCUAAUACAGCAUACCAUCUGAUGUGCCCAUAUGGGAUUAGCGAGUAGGUGGGGUAAUGGCUCACAUAGGCGACGAGCCCUAGCUGGUCUGAGAGGAUGACCAGCCACACUGUGACUGAGACACGGUCCAGACUCCUACGGUAGGCAGCAGUGGGGAAUAUUGCACAAUGGGCGCAAGCCUGAUGCAGCCAUGCCGCGUGUGUGAAGAAGGCCCUCGGGUUGUAAAGUACUUUCAGCGGGGAGGCGUUACCCGCAGAAGAAGCACCGGCUAACUCCGUGCCAGCAGCCGCGGUAAUAC
rnacentral:rRNA from 1 species